GAGUUUGAUCGUGGCUCAGGAUGAACGCUAGCGGCAGGCUUAACACAUGCAAGUCGAGGGGUAGAAGGAGCUUGCUCCUUUGAGACCGGCGCACGGGUGCGUAACGCGUAUGCAACCUACCCUGAACAGGGGAAUAGCCCAGAGAAAUUUGGAUUAAUACCUCAUAGUAUUAUUGAAUGGCAUCAUUUAAUAAUUAAAGUUCCAACGGUAAAAGAUGAGCAUGCGUCCCAUUAGCUAGAUGGUAAGGUAACGGCUUACCAUGGCGACGAUGGGUAGGGGUCCUGAGAGGGAGAUCACCCACACUGGUACUGAGACACGGACCAGACUCCUACGGGAGGCAGCAGUGAGGAAUAUUGGUCAAUGGGCGCAAGCCUGAACCAGCCAUGCCGCGUGCAGGAUGACGGUCCUAUGGAUUGUAAACUGCUUUUGUACAGGAAGAAACAGUUCUACGUGUAGAACCUUGACGGUACUGUAAGAAUAAGGAUCGGCUAACUCCGUGCCAGCCGCCGCCGUAAC
rnacentral:rRNA from 1 species